rnacentral:rRNA from 1 species
GUGGGGAAUUUUGGACAAUGGGCGCAAGCCUGAUCCAGCAAUGCCGCGUGCAGGAAGAAGGCCUUCGGGUUGUAAACUGCUUUUGUACGGAACGAAAAGGCUCUGGUUAAUACCUGGGGCUCAUGACGGUACCGUAAGAAUAAGCACCGGCUAACUACGUGCCAGCAGCCGCGGUAAUACGUAGGGUGCAAGCGUUAAUCGGAAUUACUGGGCGUAAAGCGUGCGCAGGCGGUUUUGUAAGACAGACGUGAAAUCCCCGGGCUCAACCUGGGAAUGGCGUUUGUGACUGGAAAGCUGGAGUGCGGCAGAGGGGGAUGGAAUUCCGCGUGUAGCAGUGAAAUGCGUAGAUAUGCGGAGGAACACCGAUGGCGAAGGCAAUCCCCUGGGCCUGCACUGACGCUCAUGCACGAAAGCGUGGGGAGCAAACAGGAUUAGAAACCCGUGUAGUCC